UACGAAGGGGGCUAGCGUUGCUCGGAAUUACUGGGCGUAAAGGGCGCGUAGGCGGACAUUUAAGUUAGAGGUGAAAGCCCAGGGCUCAACCCUGGAAUAGCCUUUAAUACUGGAUGUCUUGAGUUCGGGAGAGGUGAGUGGAAUGCCGAGUGUAGAGGUGAAAUUCGUAGAUAUUCGGCGGAACACCAGUGGCGAAGGCGACUCACUGGCCCGAUACUGACGCUGAGGCGCGAAAGCGUGGGGAGCAAACAGGAUUAGAUGACCCUAG
rnacentral:rRNA from 1 species